CCUACGGGAGGCAGCAGUCGGGAAUUUUGCCCAAUGGGGGAAACCCUGAGGCAGCAACGCCGCGUGAGGGAUGAAGGCCUUCGGGUUGUAAACCUCUUUUCUCAGGGACGAUAAUGACGGUACCUGAGGAAUAAGCCACGGCUAACUACGUGCCAGCAGCCGCGGUAAUACGUAGGUGGCAAGCGUUGUCCGGAUUUACUGGGCGUAAAGAGCGCGCAGGCGGCCAGGUCAGUCGAAUGUGAAAGCCCCCGGCUCAACUGGGGAAGGUCAUUCGAUACUGCUUGGCUUGAAGAUAGGAGAGGGAAGCGGAAUUUCAGGUGUAGUGGUGAAAUGCGUAGAUAUCUGAAGGAACACCAGUGGCGAAGGCGGCUUUCUGGCCUAUUCUUGACGCUGAGGCGCGAAAGCUAGGGGAGCGAACGGGAUUAGAUACCCCGGUAGUCCUAGCCGUAAACGAUGAACACUAGAUGUUGGUGGUAUCAACCCCGCCAGUGUCGCAGCUAACGCAUUAAGUGUUCCGCCUGGGGAGUACGGCCGCAAGGCUAAAACUCAAAUGAAUUGACGG
rnacentral:rRNA from 1 species